rnacentral:rRNA from 1 species
GGAAUCUUGCGCAAUGGGCGAAAGCCUGACGCAGCGACGCCGCAUGAGUGAUGAAGGCCCUAGGGUUGUAAAGCUCUGUGGAGGGGGACGAAUAAGCAAUGGUUAAUAGCCAUUGUGAUGACGGUACCUCUUUAGCAAGCACCGGCUAACUCUGUGCCAGCAGCCGCGGUAAGACAGAGGGUGCAAACGUUGUUCGGAAUUACUGGGCGUAAAGCGCGUGUAGGCUGUCGUGCAAGUCGGAUGUGAAAGCCCUGGGCUCAACCCAGGAAGUGCAUUCGAAACUGCAAGACUUGAAUCUCGGAGAGGGUAGCGGAAUUCUGGGUGUAGAGGUGAAAUUCGUAGAUAUCCAGAGGAACACCGGUGGCGAAGGCGGCUACCUGGACGAGUAUUGACGCUGAGACGCGACAGCGUGGGGAGCA